UACAGAGGGUGCAAGCGUUAAUCGGAUUUACUGGGCGUAAAGCGUGUGUAGGUGGCUGCGUAAGUCGAUUGUGAAAUCCCUGGGCUCAACCUGGGAAUUGCAGUCGAUACUGCGGAGCUCGAGUUCGGUAGAGGAUGGCGGAAUUCCCGGUGUAGCGGUGAAAUGCGUAGAUAUCGGGAGGAACAUCGAUGGCGAAGGCAACCGUCUGGGCCUGAACUGACACUGUGACACGAAAGCGUGGGUAGCAAACAGG
rnacentral:rRNA from 1 species